rnacentral:rRNA from 1 species
AUGAACGCUGGCGGCGUGCCUAAUACAUGCAAGUCGAGCGAACAGAUGAGGAGCUUGCUCCUCUGACGUUAGCGGCGGACGGGUGAGUAACACGUGGAUAACCUACCUAUAAGACUGGGAUAACUUCGGGAAACCGGAGCUAAUACCGGAUAAUAUAUUGAACCGCAUGGUUCAAUAGUGAAAGACGGUUUUGCUGUCACUUAUAGAUGGAUCCGCGCCGCAUUAGCUAGUUGGUAAGGUAACGGCUUACCAAGGCAACGAUGCGUAGCCGACCUGAGAGGGUGAUCGGCCACACUGGAACUGAGACACGGUCCAGACUCCUACGGGAGGCAGCAGUAGGGAAUCUUCCGCAAUGGGCGAAAGCCUGACGGAGCAACGCCGCGUGAGUGAUGAAGGUCUUCGGAUCGUAAAACUCUGUUAUUAGGGAAGAACAAAUGUGUAAGUAACUAUGCACGUCUUGUCGGUACCUAAUCAGAAAGCCACGGCUAACUACGUG